rnacentral:rRNA from 1 species
UACAGAGGGGGCAAGCGUUAUUCGGAAUUAUUGGGCAUAAAGGGCGCGUAGGCGGCUUGGCAAGUGGAUGGUGAAAUCCCUCGGCUUAACCGAGGAACUGCCGUCCAAACUGCUUUGCUUGAGACCGGGAGAGGUGAGUGGAAUUCCCAGUGUAGCGGUGAAAUGCGUAGAUAUUGGGAGGAACACCAGUGGCGAAGGCGGCUCACUGGACCGGUACUGACGCUGAUGCGCGAAAGCGUGGGGAGCAAACGGGG